UACAGAGGUCUCAACCGUUGUUCGGAUUCAUUGGGCGUAAAGGGGGCGUAGGCGGUCGUGCAAGUCGGAUGUGAAAUCUCAGGGCUCAACCCUGAAACUGCAUUCGAUACUGCGCGGCUAGAGUGCUGGAGGGGAGACUGGAAUUUACGGUGUAGCAGUGAAAUGCGUAGAGAUCAUGAGGAAGACCAGUGGCGAAGGCGGGUCUCUGGACAGUUCCUGACACUGAGGCGCGAAGGCCAGGGGAGCAAACGGG
rnacentral:rRNA from 1 species